rnacentral:tRNA from 1 species
ACUUUUUUAUUAUAAUUAAUAUAAUUGAUUUCCAAUCAAAAGAUCUUAAAACAAGAAAAAGUA